CCGGAGUUGAGGAAGGGGAAACCUAGGGCUUGCAGGGCGGCGGCGUUGCUGCUCGAAAUACGAGCGGCGGCGGCCCGAACUAGAGGAGAAGAGAGAUGAGGGGCGGAGACAUCGCCGGUGGUUGUCGUCGUCGGAUUUCAGAGGGAGGAGAACGGAUUGGGAGCCUAGGGCUCGGCGGCUCUGCCGUCGUUCCGAGCGGGCUAGGCGAGAGACGAGCGAGGGAGAAGGAGCUGUGCGGCGGCGGCCGUCGCUUCGCCGGCGGCUGCUGCUGCAGUUGAGUAUGUGUGUGGAGAGAGAGCGAGAGAGUCGAGAGGGGGAAUUGGGAGGAGCAGAUUCUGUGUUUGUGUGCGCGUGGGUUUGAAGAGAAAAUGAGGAAGAAGUUGGGCUUUGGCUACUGGGCUGAUUUUAUUAAAAAUCUUUGGGCCUUAUUACUUUAUGUGUGGACUGCGAUUUUUAUUAAUUUAGGGCCCCCUUAAUUACUUCUUUUUGGGCUGCCAUAUUUUAAUUAAUUGGACUAUUAGUCAGUUUAAUUAAUUUAUUUAAUGAAUAAUUUGCAUAAUAAUAUUAUAUUAUUAUUAUGUGCAUAUUUUAAGUUAUUACUUAUCAUAUGUUUAAAGCAUGACAUUUAUUGCAUUUGCGUUUUGCAAUAAAAGCAUUUAUAAUUUAAUUGGUUUUAUUUAUAAUUCCAAUUAUUAAAGAAAAAUCGAGUAAGGAUAUUGUUGGUAUCCUUAACUCAAGAAUUUAGUUUCAAUUAUUUAUUUACUAAAUUUUGGAAACCCGGCGUGAUGAAUCAAGUAUGUUUAGUACAUCCACUAAGACUUUAAGUUAGCUUCACGAGACCUAUUAAGAAUAGAAUUUCUUGUAGGCAACCAAGGGGAUUAGCGUUGCUUUCCCAAGACGAGUUUAUGUGAUUAUGAUCUUCAGGCUUUGCCUAUCCAGGUGGGCUUACUUUCCAAAUGUAUAAAGUAUGAUUGAGUUAUUAAGCUCUAAAUGUUUCAAUGAAAUGCAAAUUGUUUAUUCAAUAAAAUGCAAACUGUUUAUCCAAUAAAAUAUUUUGUGCGCUCUGCUCCGUUUAAGGCUCGCAACAAUGAAUCGAUCGAGGUUCUCUCUUGACCUAACACGUUAUUUGAGAAUUGUGUACACCUAUUAGCUGACCUGGUGGGUUGAUCUCCAUCGGGCACUAAUCAUGUAUGAGGCGUUAUAAGGGUGCUCGACGGGAUGUGUUCCGGAGCAUGUAUCAUGUGAGGUCUGCCUGGGUAGCGUCCCGAGGAAUUCAACUUGGCUGGGUUACGCCCUCAGUCCAAGUCAAGCGGGAGUAAUGGAUCCGUCGGUGGCUAAAAGGUCCGGGAUCACAGCGAGUAACGGAAAGGGAGUGUGACAUGUGCGCACAAAUGAAAGAAAUUAUUUUAACAUGCUUAGAAGUUAUUUCACUUUAAAACCUUCUAAGUUAUGUCAAGUAUGAUUGGAUAAACUGUCUUUACGAAAAUAUGAAAUGUUUAUGAAAAUGCAUGCCCACUGAGUACAUUAGUACUUAGCCCAAAAAUACUUUCAAAUGUUUUCAGGUUGGCUGGCCGGUGCUGACGGGACUGAGCUGAGGCUAGGGUUCAAUUUCUAUAUAGACUUCCGCUGUAGUAAUAACUCUUAUACAUCUUUUGUUUUCUCAACUUAAGAUGACUUCAUGUCGAGCUUCAAUUUAAAAUUUCUAGUUUUUGUUAAUGAACGUCGGUUGUCAGAAACAUGAAACAAAACUUGUGAUCCAAAGGGGCUUAGCCCGACUCGUUAUCUUAUUAUUCGGGUUUUAACAAGGUUUGUCCUUGUUUAUUUCUAUGAAUUGGUUGCACCUCGAUUAUAUUAUUCAUUCAAGAAUUGGGGUGUGACAAGUUGGCAUAAGUAAAUAAUUCCAAUACAAAAAUCUUGAAUUCAACGCAUUUUUUUUCUCUCUUAACUCUAAGAGAGAGAUAUGAAAGAAGAGCUCCUUAGUUGAUAUAAAUAUCUGGAUAAUCUAGAGCUCCAAGUACGUCGUCGGCGUCUGUGUAGUAUAUAUAAUGAAGCGGAGGAGAGAGUUUGAGAUGGUGGCAUCGGAGAUCAGGUCCGCCAUUGAGGAGGUGUCGUUGCUAGUGGUCAACCUUAAAACUGGCGCCGCCGCCGCUGUUGAUGAUGCCGUUCCGAAUACUGCUCCCGUUCCGAUUCCUGCUCCUGUUCCUGUUCAGACUAGUGUCCAUAUUCAGAUCAAGCCGUUUCUCUCUCUCUGCAAUUUGCUCGUUCAAGUUCUCGGUCUCUCUCUCUCUCACUCUCUCUCUCACACACACACGUACACGUUACGAAAGUGUUUUUUAUUAGUCUCUGUGGAUUUACUUGCGUUAACGGAAUUAUUUUGCAGAUAAGAUAGGGCCAACAAUGGCUGUGUUGAGACAAGACAUUCGCCACAACAUUGAGGUAAACAAAAAAAAAACCGUAGUGAAAGUGAAGAGUAGUAGUUAAAUAAGUAGUGUGUGCACAAAUUUGUCACAUUGAGUGUGUGCAAAACACACGCACAUCACCCCCACCAAAAAGUCUUGAUCGAUGGGAACUCCACGGCCAAGAAAGAGAAAACAAGCCUUCCCCACAUUUUGACUUUUAUCACAUGACGAUCAUAUAUAUAUAUUACCCCAAAAUAUCCCCAUUGCUUUGUCAAAAGAUAUAUCUAUCCAAGUUAAGACUUGUAAUGCAUGUCACAUUGUCUACCAGGGUAUUUUCGUCAUUCUCUUUUUCUGGGAAGUUUGUCCUAGUUAUGUUUGUCCCCAUUCAAUGCUAAAUGCCAAUACAGAUUAAUAUUCUUAAAUUAGUCCAUAUUCACAACCUUAAAUUAGUUUGUAUUUCAUUGAUCCAGAGAUUAGAGAAGUUCUAUGAGUCUGAUCCAUCAAUAUAUUGGGAUGUGGUUGAGAUUUUGAAGAAAGAGGUGAAUGAAGGCAAGGCCAAAAAAGGGCCCACCUGCAGCAAAGCCUUUGUUUGGCUUAACAGGUCUCAACAUUUUUAUUUUUAUUUUUUUGACAUACAAGAUAAAUUAUGUAAGAAUCUUAAUUGAUUUGUUUUGUCAUCUUUAAUUUGCAAUUUGCAGGUCCCUUGAUUUUGCUCUGGCAUUGUUAGAGUUGCUUGUGAAGGAUUUUGGGAGAAACAUGGAGGAAGCAGUGGAAGCGUCUUACAUCACCACCUUAAAACCAUGGCAUGGAUGGAUCUCUUCAGCAGCCUAUAAAGUAACAUACCAUUCCCAUCUCCCAAAAAUAUAUAUGGAUAACAUUCGAGUUUAUGUCUUUCAUUUUUAUAGGUCGCCCUCAAACUGGUGCCCGAUAGCCGGACAUUCGUGGAUGUUCUUAAGGUCAAAGGCGAAGAAGACGACGUGCUCAAGAAAGACAUACAAAACCUCAUCUCUUUGCUCAUACCAGUGCUAGAGCAGAACAAGGAUAUUCUGGUUAGUUAUGAGUAAAUAUGUCCAUUUUUCAUAUUGUAAUUUUAUUUUUAUAGAAACCAAGUAAAACAAAUUCAUUUGCACUGCAGAGAGCGUAUGGUUUGGAUAAGCUGAAAUCGACGUAAAGAAAGCAUCCGAGAGAGCCAAAACAUCUGUAGAGUGUCCAAAUUUUGAUGCCUCUUGUUUUAGGCCAAUGUACAUAUGUAAAAUAGUUACCCUUCCUUUAUUUUCUUCUUCAAGUUUUCCUAAUUGUACACAAAACUCUGUCAUGAGCGUUCUUUUAAUUCGUCUCAUGAUUGUUUAUACAUCUUGAGAAGUUCAUAGAGAAAAAUUAAUAAAUAGAGUUGUGUUAGCGAUCCCUGGCCCUAAGGUUGUUGCAACAUGACAUUCUUGAAGAUGCCUAUCUUGUCUAUGCCCAAAUGGGAACCAUCAGCAGAAUGUAUGGGAGGAUCAUCAAGUGCAACGAGCGCAGCCACCAGGCCAGCAUUGCUCGCGAUACUUGCCUCCGUGAACAAGGGCUUCUCUCUUUCAUCCAAGAAAACGUCGUUCCUGUCUGGCCCUCCUACCAUAGCUCCUAUAAGAUUGUUUGGGUUUUUGCUCGGGGAGCUCAAAUACGAGCUCCCUUCAGGGCACGAGCGUGGUAUCCCGUCCCACGGGAUUGAUGCAGCCCUGUGGUGAACAUGAGUUGGAUAGUGACCUCCAUAUCCCACCAUGUAGCUCAUCUUCAUUGGGUUGUCUCCUAGUAUGUAAUAAACCUGAAAAAUAGGUUUUUUUGAGUUAGCUAAAAAGUUGACAAAACUUUGGAUGAAUCUUCAAAAUCUUGAGCUGCAUACCUGUGAUGCUGCAAAAUCUUGGAGCUUUUGACUAGAGAAGGUGUCGUUUCCGCAACCACCACUCGUUCUUCGUUGAAGUUGAAGAUAAUCACUGUAUAAUUUGCUGAGAAAAGAUGCAGUUGCAGCAUACUGCAGUGGUGCACCGAUGUCUGGUUUUUGGAGGACAAGCCCCCCUUCAAGAAACACUAAAUUUUUAAACAUAUUAUCUUAAAAAACAAAUGUAAAAUCAAAGCCUCUUACCAUUAGUGACAAUCAAAUUGUGGUUGGAAGAAACAUAGGAACACAUGAGCAAGUCAGUCCUGUUUGUGGCCAAAGCCUCUUCAUAUGGAUACCCCAAAUCCAUAAAAUAUCUAAUUCUUGUCAUCAAAAUCUGCAAAAUAAGAAAAAAAAAUGUUGAGCUACAAUUCAUUUCAAGAUCAUAUUGAACCUUAAAUAUUAAGAAAUAUCAACAUACUGCAUUAGCUGUGAGCUUGUUGUUCCAGUAGAAAACCCCUUUCUCAGAGGGAAGUUCUUCCUCCUCUGCUGCAGCGAAAUUAUCAGACGCGUAUUUGAGAUACGAAGCAUUCCCAGUCGCGAAAAACAACCACGUUCCACCCCACACGAGCUCAUCAAUAUAACCAGAUGAGGUGUAGAAAGCCUUAGCUCUGCCUCCACAAGCAUCACUAUCAGUAUACUUGUGAGGAUCAUUCUGCCUAAUAGCUAAAUCGAACAAUUUCUCUGCAGCCUCGACUAAUUCCUGCGAAUGCCUCUCAUCUUCGGCUAAAGCUAAAGAAGCGGCCGCCAUCCCUGCAACUACUUCUCCGGCUAAGUCUGCAGCUGAAUCAUUACAAACUGAAACAGGCCUAAUGUACUUCAUGUCCUCUGGUCUUUGCCAACAAGUAACGUCGUUAUCUUGAGGCCCAUCAUCUCCUCCAACCUUAAACAUUACGAACCAUAAACUCAAACUACGUCUUCUUCACAUAAUCAUGCAAGAAAACUAUCCCAAAUAGGUUUUGGAUCAAAAGCUUACCUGAGAGAAUAAAGUGCUGAAAUCCGAGGUUGAAUUCGGAGGUAUGAAGAGUUUGAGCAAGUAUUCACUUCCCCACUUGAUUAUAUCCUUAACAUGAUCGAGCUCUCCGAUUGCUGCAUAUUUCUGUUGAUAUUCAAUCACUGUCCAGCUUAGGACUGUGACUGUAUAAGCUGUAGUGAAGCUAAACUUGAUAUUGUUUCCUGCAUCAUAAUAGCCUCCAACAAGAUCUGCAGUAGUGUUCCCAUCUUUCCCAUCGCUUAAACUUGAAUUUCCUCGAAAACCAACCUUUGAAUCUCUCGGAAGAAUUCCUGCUGUCAGAAGACAAAAUAAAAAUUAAAAAAUAAAAAAAUGGGAUGUUAGAAAAAUAAUGAAAUUUUGCAAAGGACUAAAUUUAAAGUAACUUACACUUUUGUGCGUCGAAGAAGAGGAGAGCUUGGUUCAAAGCAAGAGUGAGAUCCUUAUUAUCUUGGUGCUGUUGAUUCUUGUGAAGCAGAAAAUGCAGCAGCAGGAUGAGAGUGGGGACGGCGAAAACAAGGAAAAUGGAGGCGUAGAGGCAGCGCUUGAAGUGAGCCUUGUUAGCUAUAGUUAGAUUGAAAUGAACGGAUUUUGAAAAUCUUGGAGGGAGGGAAUCCAGUCCAUCAAAUGUGGUGUGAGGAAGAAGGCUGGAAUCGAGGUCGGUGUGUCGAGUGGAAGAGGAUUUUGAAUGGACAAAUCUGCCUGAAUCAACCUCUGAUUCACAAGUUAUUGCAGACAUGGCUCAUCACACAAUGAAAAUUGUUUUUCUUUAUGAAAUUUGAUCGAGUUUGAGAUCAAGAGUUGUUGGAGAUGCAUGAGGUAACUGCAUGAAGCAGACCAACUUAUUCAUGGUUUUUUUAUGAAGUUGUAUUUGGCAAAGUUGGAAUUUAAAGAUUCUGAACGAUGUUUAAUGUUUGAUUUGUGUAUUUAUUAUCAACAAGUUUGUUAUCAUUUCAACAAAAAAGAAAAAGAAAAAAGGAAGAUUGUUAUCUUAUGAAAUAACGCUGGGCCGGGGCACAGCUCGUCGUUAUAAACAAAAUAAAAAGAUGAACUUUUACCAGAUUCAACGGACAUUUCAAAGCACACACAAAUAUGCAUAUCAACAAAUGUGCCCCAGAAAAAACAAAAAAAAUGACGUGGUUAAUAGGAAAAAAGUUUGAUAGCCGAUAUUAAUUUAUAUUGGGAAAAUUAUAGGUUAUCUCUUAAAUUAUUUGUCAUUUAACAAAACACGUAUCUUGAAUUGCCGAAAAUUGAAGGGAAACUCGUUGACGGCUUGAAGAGGGUGGUUGAAUCUUGAGCUAUGUUGUGUGGGUUGUGCUGCUGUAAGUGUCGAGUUUGGUGAGAAGUGGUAGAGAGGGCAGCAGUCGGCGGCUAUUGCUGUUCAGUCCAGGCGGAGGCAGCGUCGUUUAUGGCGCUGUCGUUGCUGGGAAUUUGAGUUUAGGGCACGAUGGCGGCGAGGAGCCGCUGUCACCGCCAGAAAUCGGGGAGAUGAGGUAGUGGUUGGAUCGAGAGUAGCAGGCAGCGAUAGGGGCGGCGGUUUCACGCCCUGCUCUGAGUCAGACCAGAGAUGGAGAUUCGGAGGGAGCCUUGGUAUGGUGUGUGUAGGGCUUCAGUCGGCGGCGGCCUCGUCGUCGCUGCCCUGAGUCGCCGGAGUUGAGGAAGGGGGAACCUAGGGCUUGCAGGGCAAAUACGUUUCUUGCUCCGAGAGGGAGAUCAGUUUGGCUGUUGAUAUCUGGUUGAUCCCUUCUGUUGCUGCCACUGCUGAGAAGGCCCAGCAACUCCCUACAACCAUGGACGUGUAUUUGUGAAGUGAUAAAUUAUGAAUGGAUGGAUAUGAUGAGGUGAGUUGAGUUACCACACUGGCCUUGAUCCUUAAUAGGUGUGACCGCCCCUUCCUUCCUCCAGUCCAUGCUAGAUGGCAAAGCACUCGCAUUCCCAUACCUAAAUGGCGUAGCUUCGGACGACUCCCGCACCCUGAGUCCAUUCCUAGCAGCCUUGAACUCCUCGUUGGUCAUAUCCGCGAAAGCGUUGAUCCCGACCUUGUACGCCCGAGCCCCCGCCGCAUUAAACUCCUCCAUGAACUCUACGUUAUCCUUAAAAAUCGCGAAGCGCGCCGCCUUUUCUUCUUCGUCUCGUACGUGCGUCCGUACUCCGACAUCCAACGCUCGUGUCUCUCUAACAUCGACGCCUUCGGAAGUUGGCGGGAAGCUGCGUCAGAAGCCCACGUCGCCAAAAAUAGGAUGGCCAGAGCUGAGAGUUUCGUCAUCGACACACCCAUUUUUCCUUCUCCUUUUUGUUGUGCUGAAAUAUGUUUGGUUUUGAUGUUUAUGAGCUAGCUUUGAAGCAAAUGUAUUUAUACGAGGUUUUGAUGAUGCAUUACCAAAAAUUAAAACAAACGAAUAAUCAAAGCUUUGCAAUUUGGCGUGGAGAUUAGGGUGAUUUGGACUAACUAUUGUCCGUAGACGCUGCUAAUUGAAACAUAUUAUUAUACAUUAAUACUAUAAUGUAAUGUAUGAAUUGCAACGUUAAUUAUUCGACUUUUAGGCCGGGACAAAUACUUUUUUGAGUCCCACAGUUAAUUGAGCCCAUUAACUCUUAAUUAAUUGUUUACCAUCAUUCCUUAUUAUUAAUUUAUUAUUUUAUUCAAAAAAUAUAUACAACACAAUUUUGAAUUAAUUAACUCAAAUAAAUAAUUAUAAAUUCUCAUUGAGUUAGUGAGUCUUAGCUUAUUAUCUUAAAUUAUCGUAAAAUUAAAAGUGAAGCAUAAAAAUAAUUAAAAAAUUAUAAAUAAUUGAACGUGGGACAAAUGAUCCCAUAUGUAUUUUUGUGUGUGGUACUGAAAAUCAAAGUAAAAAUUUAUGAUGUCAGUUACUUGUAUUUUUUUAGAAGACAAUUAGUGUCAAUUACACUAAUAUUGUUUGUGUUACUUUCGAGCAGAAUUUGUAUCCCAUGAUGACUAGGGAAUGUUAAUCUUGCCAUAAGGGAAUUUUGUUUUUCAGACAGGGAAUCCAAGCAUUGACCAACGCUACCAAUAGAUCGGAGGUUCAAGUCACCUAAAAAGUUAGAGUGUGAGUGUGUGUGUGUGUGUUUUUUUUUUGUUGAGUGUAACAAUUUUUUUUAAAAAUAGAAAAAUAAAAAAAGAACUUUCAGAAUUAGGAAAACCAGUAUUUUUAGAGUUGAUUGUUUGGGUCAGAUGAUUGGGUCCGGUUUCAGGUCCAUAAGCAGAAAGCCCAAAUGAAUUUGGUAUCCCUAACCCAAUUACUAGAGGAGAAGAGAGAUGGAGGGGCGGAGACAUCGCCGGUGGUUGUCGUCGUCGGAUUUCAGAGGGAGGAGAACGGAUUGGGAGCCUAGGGCUCGGCGGCUCUGCCGUCUUUCCGAGCGGGCUAGGCGAGAGACGAGCGAGGCCGAGAAGGAGCUGUCCGGCGGCGGCCGUCGCUUCGCCGGCGGCUGCUGCUGCAGUUGAGUAUGUGUGUGGAGAGAGAGCGAGAGAGUCGAGAGGGGGAAUUGGGAGGAGCAGAUUCUGUGUUUGUGUGCGCGUGGGUUUGAAGAGAAAACGAGGAAGAAGGGUUUGGGGGUGUCGGGCUUUGGCUACUGGGCUGAUUUUAUUAAAAGUCUUUGGGCCUUAUUACUUUAUGUGUGGACUGCGAUUUUUAUUAAUUUAGGGCCCCCUUAAUUACUUCUUUUUGGGCUGCCAUAUUUUAAUUAAUUGGACUAUUAGUCAGUUUAAUUAAUUUAUUUAAUGAAUAAUUUGCAUAAUAAUAUUAUAUUAUUAUUAUGUGCAUAUUUUAAGUUA
rnacentral:lncRNA from 1 species